rnacentral:rRNA from 1 species
UACAGAGGUCCCAAGCGUUGUUCGGAUUCACUGGGCGUAAAGGGUGCGUAGGUGGUGAGGUAAGUCGGAUGUGAAAGCUCGGAGCUCAACUCCGAAACGGCAUUGGAAACUACCUUGCUCGAGGGUUGGAGGGGGGACUGGAAUACUUGGUGUAGCAGUGAAAUGCGUAGAUAUCAAGUGGAACACCAGUGGCGAAGGCGAGUCCCUGGACAACUCCUGACACUGAGGCACGAAAGCUAGGGGAGCAAACAGG